CAGAUAAAGACCCUGGGGCUUGGGGAAAAACUGAAUGCUUUGUUCAAAAUGACUCAACUAGGGAGUGGGGAAACAAGAAUUUGAAAUCAGAUCUACCCUGAAAGAGGAAAGGCCAUGUGAGGAUGCAGCAAGAAGGGGACUGUCUACAAGCCAGGAAGUGAGCUCUCACCAGAAACCAAAGAUGCCUGCACCUCGAGCUGACAUUUCUAGCCUCCAGAAUGGAAUAUCGCAUUUCUUAACCAUGGUGUAACAGAAGAAUAUGGACUUGGAGUUUCAAUUUCUUGUGACAGUACAGCUACCUAGAAAAGCCCAAGCUACUAAAAGUACCAGAACAGAACUUUCUUCUUACUGUGAGCCUGGAUUCCAAGUACUAAGUAUCAACAACUUUUUGACUGUGAUUUAUGUGAUCAGAGACCUUCACAUGUUUGAGUUUAUAAGUAUGCAUGCUCCUAUUGGUGAGGCUGAAUUCCCAGGCACAAACACAAUAGAUACAUCUCCUUGUCUUACUCAAAAAAGCCUAUGCAGAUAAAACGUAAGUGAGAAAACAUUUAAUAUGUGGGUGACUUUAAACCAGCUCAAAUUUUUAAAUAAAAUUAAAUCUUUCAA